AGCUAUUUAAAUUGUAACACGAAUUUCAAACUUAUUUUUAUCCCUUUAUGAACCCCUGAUUUUUGAAAAAGUGUUCCAUGAUGAAAUGACUUUGCACAAAAUAUAGCUGUGUUACUAUAUUUAGGAAAUAUACACAACUAGUUGCAUUAUAUAUGCAAUUUGAAUUGACUGACAUAAUUUCCAUAGUAUUACAUGAUUUGCUAUGGUAAACAAUAAAUGUUGUGCCACAGGUAAUAAACAUGUGAAGAAUAUGCUAAAUCCUAGCAGUACAAAAAAAAAGUGGAACAAAUUUUAUGCAUAUAUCAGCUCAAACCGAACAAUUCAGUCCCUCCCUUUAAUCCAUCUCUCCUACUUGUGAGGGCCUGAAUACCUAACACGUUAAAAAUGUUCACUAAGCCUGGAUUGUAAUCGGUGUCUUGUAGAAGAGAGGAUCUAUCAGCAAUCAUCUCAAUUUUGAUGAGAUCUGUAAAUCCAGAGCUAAUUCUGAAUGGUUGAUUGAAGAUUUUUUAUUGUCUAUGCAUUCAGGCGUUAAUAAAGUAACUGUAGAUCAGGUGAAUAUAACAACUGAAUUAUUUGGGUUAAUAUCGGCUAUCAAAUCUGAUCUCGAAGAUGUGAUGUUGCAUCAAGGCAAAAGCAACUUAAAGAAAUCGACAAUAAUAAGCGAAAGAAUGACUUGAAAGGAGAAGACAAUACAAAUGAUUGUUUGACAAAGAAUAGAGGGUAACUAGAUGGACAGAGAGGCCUGGUCUGUUUGUGCACCCAAAAUAAUUCCGUUUAUAAACAGAGUUGCAGGGACAAAAUUAGAGACUCACAAAGUCAAAAACACAUAUUAUUCUUACACACUGCCCUAUUUCAAAUUAUGUGGAAUUCUUUUCAUAUCUACUGUAAAUGACAAAAGAAAAAAAAACGAACAUUGAAUACAGUCCAAACAUUAAACUUUGGUAGUUUUAAGACUUUGCACUUUUUAUUGAUACAGCCAUUGACAGUAUGGUUAAUUUUAGAGUAUAAAACAUUCC
rnacentral:lncRNA from 1 species